CUGGGGGUGUCAGGAUACACGGUGCAGGAGAGGGCUUGACCGUUGGUGUCACCAGAGACUGGUGUCGGCCGUGCACUUCCCUCUGCUCCCAUCCCGCAGAGAUGCUGGAUUAUUUCCACACUACACCCACUGUCUGUCCACACUUUAUUACAGACCCAGCCUCCGUACCAACUGAGGAACCCCAGGAUACUGCCGAACCCCAGGAAACAGCUGAACCCCAGGAAACAACAGCUGAACCCCGGGAGGAUGUGCCCACUGUCCCAGAACCAGAUACAAGCUCAGCCGAAGCCCAGGAAACACUCGAACCCCAGGAAACAGCUCCCAAGCCCCGGCAGGAUUUGUCCACCGCACGAGUACCAGA